CUUCCAUAUGCCAAUGGUGCAGCCCUGAAAAGACCCCCCCAAAAAAGGUAAAAAAAAAUGUUGCUCCAGAUCUAUUAAAUUUAUUUCUUAAGCCAUUGAAAGGCCAUGAAGGACCCAGAGUUUGAAAAACACUCUGCUGGGUGUUCUAACAUUUGCUUGUGGUACUUAUUUACACUUUUUUUUUUUUACUAGGUCAAAACUGGAGCAAAUUCCUUGCUGGUCAGCCUUGGCCCUGAUCGGCUUGGGCGCCUCUGCCCAGUUCCUUCCAGUUUUCCUGACCACCUCCCAGGCGUGCACAAGUCUGGUCUAGAUACGUCAGGAAAUGAGGCUCAUGUGGUGUUGUCUCCACAUUCCUUACCUUCUACAGAGGGGAGGCAGAGUCAACCAGGAUGUAAUCCUUGAACGCCAUCAUGGGGAUUCAGAAGCCUGGCGAAGGUUAAGAACCGGUGGGUAUAACGAAGUUGAACUUCAGAAGCAUAAUGCUAAGUGAAAGAAGCGGACACAAGAGACCAGUAACGGUAUGAUUCUGUUUCUAUGAUGCUCUAGCAGUGGCAGAAUUGUAGAGACAGAAAUAAGAUCAGUCACAGGCAGGGCCAGAGAACUGGGGAAGGGCAUUACUGCAAAGGGGCAGAGAGGAAUGUUUUGGGGUGAAAAAUGUUUGAUAGACUGAUUUGUUAAUACUCACCUGCAUGCUUCAAAAGGUAAAAUUAACUCUAUGUAAAUUAUACCUCAAUUUAAAAAAGAACUGGUAGCCUAGGUCCUCAAUAGUCACUGUUUUGAUGGUGAUGAUGAAGUAACAGGAGGAAGGCAGCAGGAUUUUGCAACAAUUUCCAAAUGUUGUAUUUUUUGGAUGAGGACCAGCUUGCAACUCCUGAAGCAUUACCAGAUAGAUAGCUGUGAAUCCAUCCUUUGAAAUGUGCACAUUAAAAUGAAUGCAUUUGACAUGCUUUUAGUUCCAGAUGUUCAGGUAAGCAUGCUGAGUGGGGUUUGCUGACUCUUUCUUUACUAAUGAAGAGUAAAUAACAGAUGAUUGGAAAGAGUGUCAGUCUGGGAAUAAACACGGGGAGUGUUUUCA
rnacentral:lncRNA from 1 species